UACGAAGGGGGCUAGCGUUGUUCGGAAUCACUGGGCGUAAAGGGCGCGUAGGCGGCCGAUCAAGUCGGGGGUGAAAGCCUGUGGCUCAACCACAGAAUUGCCUUCGAUACUGUUUGGCUUGAGACCGGAAGAGGUUAGUGGAACUGCGAGUGUAGAGGUGAAAUUCGUAGAUAUCUGAAGGAACAUCAGUGGCGAAAGCGACUUCCUGGACCAAUACUGACGCUCAUGUGCGAAAGCGUGGGGAGCAAACAGG
rnacentral:rRNA from 1 species